rnacentral:tRNA from 1 species
GGAGCGAUGUCAGAGUGGUCGAAUGAGGCGGUCUUGAAAACCGUUGAGCCGCGAGGUUCCGGGGGUUCGAAUCCCCCUUGCUCCG